rnacentral:snRNA from 1 species
GGAUGUAAGGGCCACCUGACUAUGAGAUCUGUCACCCCACUGAUCGCCAGGGUUGAUUUGGCUGAUCUGGUUGGUUGUCCCCUUCCUCCCUCAUGGCUUCAUGUGCAUCCCUCCUGAAGCAUGCCUGGUUAAAAAGGACAACAUUACCAUCAGGUAUGGUCCUCAGAGGAGGACCGGCUUAGGUCAAGGGUAUAUGAGUAGCUGUGCUCCCCUGCUAGAACCUGCAAAUAGGCUCUCAAGGUCCAUUUAUAGGAGAAUAUGAGGUAGUCAAGUUUCCAAAACUCUAGACACAUCCAAAUGAGGUGCUGCAUGUGGCAGUCUGCCUUUCUUU